rnacentral:lncRNA from 1 species
AACAGGAAACUAAACGUCAAAUUCUUCCAUGUAUUCGGCUCACGGUGUUUCAUCUUCAAUUCUAAAGAACAUCGUAACAAGUUCGACGUAAAAGCCGAUGAAGGGAUAUUUCUGGGAUACUCUCUCACUUCGAAAGCAUACAGGGUUUUGAACAAGCGUUCGAGGAAGAUUGAAGAAACUUAUUAUGUGACUUUCGAUGACAGCUAUGUCAAAAAGCUGANUGAAGAAACUUAUUAUGUGACUUUUGAUGACAACUAUGUCAAAAAGCUGAAGGCCAGUGAAGACACAGUUAGAGAAAUUUUUUCUCAAACAGGCCAAGUCACAGCUUCGAUUGCAAACCUGUUUGAGAAGUUUGUUGAGUUAUUCGAUGAACCAGAGAAGGCUACACUCUCGGAAGCUAGUGCAGCAGACAACAAAGUAGAUCAUCUGAAGCAACUCAUCGAAGAUGCUGCCAAGCAAAUGAAUGAAGGAGGAUCAAGUCCAAACAACCCUCCACAGCACGAUGCUUCAGUUGAGGGGGAGGAUCCACCUUCUUCAUCACAGUCGGGCUCACAUGUUGAGGGGGAGAACUGUUCUCCAGCUGCUCCCGAAAGCCCAGCUGUACCCGAAAGCCAAUCUGCACCCAAAAGUCCUGUGGUACCCGAAAGCUCAACACCACCCGAAACUCCUGUAGCUCCGGAAAGUCAAGAUACACCUGAAAGCUUAUCUGUCGAGGGGGAGAAUGCAGAUAUGUCUUAUGACGAUGAUAGUCAAUCUGAACUAGAAGAGCUGGUAAAUGCUGAAUUGGAUCCAUCCUAUGAUCCAAAUUACCCUCCUCUUGUCAAAUGGACCAGAG